rnacentral:sRNA from 1 species
GUCACCCUAGCAGCGGAUCCACAUCUCGGGUUGGCUGCCUUUAGUGUGGCUUGGAAUGCGGUAUUCGGUUCAGCCACUCCUGAUGCUGAGCCUAGUCUCGUAUACCGAACACUACAGGAACUGGUUGUGUUCUAGAGAUCUUCCUGCCCCCCACUUCUCAAGUGCUGGGAUUAUAGGUUUGUGCCACCCGUCCCGCUUUAGCUCACUACAGUUCUUUAAGAUAAUGUCUUAAUCCCCGUCUCAGAAAUGAAUCAGAAAUUCAGAAAGGCUGAUCAAUCUUGUUAUCUGACUCCCCACUUCAUCGCUGGAAGAAGGAAUUGGGAGUUGAGAGAGAAGGCUCAGUCCUCAACUAAAGAAAACUUAUCUCUCUUUCCUUGGUGUGGAUGGCCUUCUUAGAGUGGUGAUGGGAAAUUUUAGAUUCCGAGCCUCUUAGACUGAAGCGGCUCUGGUCUUCAAUCUCCCUGUUACCUAGAGAGAAAAUUGUGUCUAGAGAUUAUGUCAAUGCUAGCGAGGCAGAGCAAAGAUGGAGUUACUAAGUACUUAAGCUCUACUAUGAGAUGUUCUUCCAUUAGGAAAAGCAAAACCAAAAACCUGGGAUUCUUUAAACAACAACAACAAAACAAAACAAAAAAACAAAACCACAAAGCAUUCAAUGGCCCCAGUUUCCAGAAUGAAUACAUUAUAUUUCAUAAUUUGGUAUUUUUAGGUUAAAGAACUUGGACUUCAGAAGAGCCAAAAUCUCCUGUUCUCAUCCCCUUUGGUUAUCUCGCUUCCCACAGACCACCAGGGUCACUAGGAAAUGGAGCUCGCUAAUUUAGGGUCGCUGUGACAUGGGAGAGACAUAGUCCAUGGGAGCUCAUAAUCUAACGAGAGACGGGUUUAUGGCAAACAAUUACAGUGUGGGUGCGGUCACAGAGAUGAGAAUAAAGUGCUUUGAUCACAUGAAGAAGUCAGUGCAGGGGAACGGAGGAUGACGGCACAGAAGGCAAAGCUAACCAAUCAACACGUAUCAACAGACACAUCUGUAUGUAUUUCUGUCCAAGACACAUCUGUAUGUAUUUCUGUCCAAGGGCCUGUAUUUCUGUCCAAGGGCCUAAGAAUGAAGCUCAGUUCCCAGCCCUGCAUAAACUGGGCACCAUGGAGAACCUCCAUAUUCCCGAAUAGCCUUCCCCACAAUUCCCCAAAUCCCAGCAUGGUUAGGAACUUUUAUUUAUAUUUGUUUUUAUUUUUACAGUGUUAAGGGUGGAAACUAGGCCUCUGUACAUGGUAGGCAAAUUCUGUGACACUGAGAUACCUGAUCCUCAGAUCAAGGCUGGAGAUGGGGGUGGUGUAUGUGUGUGUGUGUGUGUGUGUGUGUGUGUGUGUGUGUGUGUGUGAUAUUGACGUCCAGGAUCUUCCUCUAUUCUCCCCAUUCUUUUCUAAGAUAAGCUAAGAUCUUCAUCUCCCAGUGAUUCUGAGACUUGCUGAUUCAGUAUGACUAUCUGGUCAGCAAAUCCCAGGGAUGCCCCUGACUCCACCUCCAUAGGGAUGCACUGCUAUGCCCAACUUUUUAUGUGUGCGUUCUGGGAAGCUUGCAUAUGAAGCACUUUGCCCUGAGCGCCAUCCCCAGCCCAAGGCUAGGAUUUGUACUGAGCUCUGCCCACUGCAAGCUCUUACCUCUGCUGUUGCUGCCAAAACUAACUCACUAUUGAAGUAAUUCUGUAAUUUAAAUAAGAAUUUUCCCCAGGUACACUAUAGUAGCCCUUAUGAUUCAUCUUAACUUCUUUUUGUAAGUUGAAAAAAUAAUUGCGUGUAUGUAUGUGUGUGCGUGUAGGCAUCUGUGUGGUGUUCUGUAUGUGUGUGUGGCACAUGCAAUACAUAGUAAGUAUUCAGGCAUAUAAGCAGAACAUCCCUUGUCUCCCUCUACCUACUCCCUCCUGACUGGCUGCCUUAUUCCUUUGCCCACCUUUUUAUGUGGAUGCUGGAGAACCAAACUCAGGUUAGUGUGGUUGACACCUUUAAUCCCAGCACUCGGAAGACAGAAACAGAUCUCUGUGAGUUCUUGGCCAGUCUGGUCUACACAGUGAGUUCCAGGGCAAUCAGAGUUCUACAGUCUGACCCUGUCUCAAAGGGAAUACACAAUGAAACUGAAUAUUGGGGCUGGAGAGAUAAUAGCUCAGUGGUCAAGAAUACUUUGCUCUUGCAGGGAUCAUGUACCCACACGGUGGUUCACAACUUGACCACUGAGCUAUGUUCCCACAUGCCAAGAUGUCGUAUUUACUUUAGAAAAUAUGGAUAGCAAAAAUAAGGACAUUAGAGCUGGCCCGUUGUAGGGUAGCCAGUCCUUCCCGCUUGGGUUUGGGCCUGUUUUACCAGGCCUAAUUUUGUAAGCAUAGUUACAAAACCUCAUAGGUGAGGUUAUCAGAGGCGCUAGGGGACAUGUUGUGGUAAAUCUCCAACCCCAAUAAACCAGCGCAAAGAACACGUAAUUCAGUUAUAAUGUUUAUAAGCUGCCUGACUACAUUGGGCAGAGUCACCACUGCUCUGCUCUAUUCCCCGGCUACGAGAUCCCUUGCUACUGACAGCUCCUUCAGGCUCCAGCUCCCUCCCACCUCCUCUUCCUCCCUUCCCUCUCUUCCCUCUCUUCAUCUCCCCCUCCCUCCAUGCUCUCUCUCUCCCUGAGACUUCCGUCCCCACCUCUUCUUCACUGCCCAGUCACAGGCUCUAGCCUUUAUUUGACCAGUUAAAAUGGGGAGAAGGUUCCCUUGAAAUCACCCGAGUACUUGGUUAAAAUACAAACGGCACCACAGCAAUCCCCCAGUAGGGAGAGCCUCCUGUUGUUCAUAUUGGCUAAAUGGCCAUGUUGUCCAACUACCUUCUAAAUAUCUAUGUUUACACUCACAGGUCUGUGCUGCUCUCAGAGGUGGUCAGAGAACCACCUUCUGGAGGUGCAUUCAUAGCUAAUCAAAGGGCUAAGAAGAAGUAAUCGGGUGUGCUCAGUCAUUCAUGGACCAUCCGGGUCAACCUUCACCUGCUCUGAGGCUCAGGGAGCAUCAAACAAGUGAGGAGAUAAAAACGAAGCAAGAGGCUGGGUAGGCAGCAUUGCACCCAUGAACUUGGAGCUGUGGAACCUGUAUACAGUCAGACCAGCCAGAAUUCCAGCAUCAAUGGGGGACUGGCUCCUGAGGACCGUGGCCCUAGCUGCAGAGAUACUGGCAAUUGAAGGCUGCCUGAGCAGAGUCUCUCUUCUUUGGACAUUUGAUGCUGGUGAGCUACCCAGAUCCAAGCGAAUGAACCCACAGCCAUGUACACAUGAGCAACACAGUUGGAUUCUGUGAGUUAUUAAAAACAACAAAAAAAAAGAGGACAUGAAUUUGGCGGGGAACAUAUUAGGGUUCUCAGAGGGGAACUAGAAGAAGGUAGUAAGGGGUGGAUAUGGUCCAAAUGCACUGUAUUAUUGUAAAUAUUCUAUAUCACACAUAUAUGCGUAUAUUUAUUUUCCUAAGAGUAAAAAUCACAGCACUCAGCAGAAAGGAAAGAGAAGAGAUGGGCCUGACUCCAAAAGUGACUGUGUGAUCUGACAAGAGUCCACGCAAUAGAGAAGGGGCGUGUCCCCAUCACAGAUCCAACAUCCUGCCAGUUCUCUCUGCAGUUCUCCCUGGAGAGUAAGUAUGUGCAGUCUGUCCUGACAAAGACUGGGCCCCAAGUUGUAAGAAAAGGUUCACUUCCUGCCAAGUAAAAUAACCUUUCCCACAAAUUGAGCAACAUAAUAAAAAAGGAGAGAGAGAGAUUGCAGCCUAGAAGAGAACGCUAGGAAGAGAGGCUGGUUUCUGCAGUUAGAGGUGCUGUAGGGUCAAAAUUAAUGCUGUAUCUUAGACCAUCCUUUCAGUCUACAAUACUGCUCCUAAUUGUUAGUAUGAGCAAAAGGAAAUAAUCAGUACUGUUUUAAUAUCCAAAAGAGAAGGUUUACAGGGGUGAUGAUAGAAUACUGAAGCAAAUAUUUUAUAGUGAAGCUACCCAUUGUUUUUAUUUGUUGGUUGAUUUGUUAUAAAAUUUCAUUUCUGUAUGUGGGAGCUAAAAGCAUCCAAGUUGAAGUGAUAUCUUCAAGGCUUUUUUUCCCCUCCUGUUUUUAAUAAUUUUUCACUUUGUCUUAGUUUGAUUACUUGAACAUUGUUAAGUCAUUCUUAUUAAAAUACUAUUGGCACUGGGUGUAUCUUAGUUGGAGAGUGCUUACCUAAUAUCCACAAGACCUUGGGGGUUUAUACCUGCAUAAACAAGGAGCGGUGGCGAACACCUAAAAUCCCAGCACUCAGGAGGUAGAUGCAGGAGGAUCAAAGGUUCAAGGUUAUCCUCUGCCACAUUGGGAGUUCAGGACCAAUCUGGGAUAUAUGAGACUUUCUUUAAAAAAAAGAAAAAGUACAUCAAUAGUGUACAUGAGGCUCUGAGGCCCUGUUUUCAACACAGAUGCACACACACAUGUACACGCACACACUCAUUAUGACACUGAGAAAGGCAAUGGCUUCUACUGAAAAUAAAUUAUCUUCCAACAAUACAGUUUUUACUGCUGUGAAUGAAUUUUAUUUAUUGUCCAGCCAGCUAUGCUCUGGCAACCUUACCAUUAACUCCAGCAACCUAGAAUGUAGGAUUAUGUUAUGAGGAAGAGAGGGCAAAUUAACAAGAUGGGACUGAAUGAAAAGCUUAAAUAUUAUUUAAAUAGUCAAAACGUUUCCUGAGACUGUAACGGGAAGGGGAUCCAAGCCGAGUUCCAAGAGCGUCUCUUGCUCUCCUGCCUUGGAAGGAUGAGAUCUGAUGAGGAGUCUGGAUGGUUCCCUGACAAUCUGAGGCAAGUGGGUAGGAUGCUCACCGCCACUAUCUACUAGAGUUUCACUGGUUCCAUAGUUAGCUGGCAGUCAUCAGGCAUUAUUGUCUCUCAGUUACUUCAUUCAGAAAGUUAAAGCUGUUAGAAUAACAAGAGUGUUACAGCUUAAGCUUUUCUUAUACAAAGUCAGGCAUAGAGUUCCAACUAAAAUACUUCAGCAAAUGGCUUUCUCCCGGCUUCAUGAGCUGCUUGGCACACAGUGAUUUCAGCCUAGGCAAACGUCUGAUGAGCUGAGUGGGCCCGAUGGUUCAGGCCUGUCAUCCCAGAUCCUUGAGAGGGUAAGUCAGGAUGAUCACAGAGUGAGGGCUGGCCUGGGCUGUAGAGUGAGUUCAAGGUCAGCCUGAACAUCUUAGUGACACUCUGUGAAAAAUGAAGAAAAAAAAAAAAAGAUUAGAGCAAGUCAUUUACAGAAGAGAAGAAGUGGUCAGUAAACACUCAAAAAUGUCUUCACGCUCAUUAGAAAUGAGAUAAUAAAAAUUAGAACUAAGCCCAGGAAGAUGGCUGGCAGGCAAAAGUACUUACCACCAAACCAGGUGACCUGAGUACAAUCUUUGGAACCCACAUUGUGGAAGGAGACACCAUCCUCUGAAUUACCAGAAAGUAGUAAAAAAAUAAAAUAAAAUAAAGUAACUAAAGGAAAACAGCCUAUCUUACCACAGAUAACAGAAUUCUAUAAGUCUAACUACACCAGGUACCAUCAAGAUUCUGAGCAGGAGGGGUUGGGGAUUUA